UACGUAGGUGGCAAGCGUUGUCCGGAAUUAUUGGGCGUAAAGCGCUCGCAGGCGGUCCUUUAAGUCUGAUGUGAAAUCUCGCGGCUCAACCGCGAACGGUCAUUGGAAACUGGAGGACUUGAGUACAGAAGAGGAGAGUGGAAUUCCACGUGUAGCGGUGAAAUGCGUAGAGAUGUGGAGGAACACCAGUGGCGAAGGCGACUCUCUGGUCUGUAACUGACGCUGAGGAGCGAAAGCGUGGGGAGCGAACAGGAUUAGAAACCCCCGUAGUCC
rnacentral:rRNA from 1 species